UACGAAGGGGGCUAGCGUUGUUCGGAAUCACUGGGCGUAAAGCGCGCGUAGGCGGCCAAUCAAGUCAGGGGUGAAAUGCCGGAGCUUAACUUCGGAACUGCCUUUGAAACUGAUUGGCUGGAAGAUGAGAGGGGAUAGCGGAAUUUCUGGUGUAGAGGUGAAAUUCGUAGAUACCAGAAGGAACACCGGUGGCGAAGGCGGCUAUCUGGCUCAUUCUUGACGCUCUGGCGCGAAAGCGUGGGGAUCAAACAGG
rnacentral:rRNA from 1 species